rnacentral:rRNA from 1 species
AGGACGGACGCUGGCGGCGUGCUUAACACAUGCAAGUCGAGCGGAAAGGCCCUUCGGGGUACUCGAGCGGCGAACGGGUGAGUAACACGUGAGCAACCUGCCCUUAGCUUCGGGAUAGCUCCGGGAAACCGGAAUUAAUACCGAAUAUGACUGCGGCUGACAUCAGCCACGGUGGAAAGUUUUUCGGCUAGGGAUGGACUCGCGGCCUAUCAGCUAGUUGGUGAGGUAACGGCCCACCAAGGCGACGACGGGUA